CCUUGUGGUUGCAGUCAUCCUGUGGCUUGUGCACUCCAGGAAAAGGAAGUACUUGCCCAACAAAACUAAGGAGGAUAAUUAAAAGGUAAAGCUGGCUAAGCUGGAGAUCAGGCACUUCAGCCCCAGCCAGGACCAUGGAGACAUCCAGAGCAGUGAGGACGUGGAGAAAAUGGGAAGGAUAAUCCCAGCCCAGAGCUGAUGGCUGCCAUGUCCCCUGGCUCUCCUGUGACUGAGACCAGCAUGGGGAUCCCAUGAAAUUCAUCCAAUUCAGCAGGGCAAGAGGAAAACAGAAGGCCCUGGAGGGCUGAGCUUUUUCAUUUUCAGCCCCUUCACCGCCCAGGGUUUGCUUACUGCUUUUCUAAGGCCUUUGAAUCUGGCUUUCUGUAAUCCUUUUUUCCAGGCUUUGCUUUCAUUUUUGCUUUCCUGGAGGCAGCACUGAAAUGCCAGAUUUCCCAGUCCUAAACUCAUGCUCAGGUUGAUGGCAUUCUCCUGCUGUCCUUUGGGUUCCCAGCCCUUCUGCCCUCUGCUUUGUGACUCUGCCUGUUCUGUCGACAACAAAUAAAGGCUUAUGGUUUGCAGGGGCUGCCUGUCCCACACA